UGUUGAAAAUUUCAUUUAUUUUUUUCUGUUAAAAAUUGUUGUGGUUGAUAGAAUAACUAUAUAGUUACACAUGGUGUACCAUGUGUACCUCAUGUUGACAUAUAGAGACUAAUUUUUAACAAUAGAAAAUAAUAUUUUUACCA
rfam:Gossypium arboreum cultivar AKA8401 contig_4709_1, whole genome shotgun sequence.